CCGGAUCGGCGUGCUGCCGCGACCGGCCGAAGCCCCAUUUCUUCUUGUCCCUUUCGCUGCGGUACUGCGGCGGCGGCGGCGGCUGCGAGUACUGCGCUACCAGUUGCCCCUGCAUCCAUUCGUCUCAACGAUCAGACUGUGUAUUUGUCGCUACGAUACACCUGCACCUGUCUACAUGCCCAUACAGCUGGCAUUCAGU